rnacentral:rRNA from 1 species
UCUGGUUGAUCCUGCCAGUAGUCAUAUGCUUGUCUCAAAGAUUAAGCCAUGCAUGUCUAAGUAUAAAUAGUAUACAGUGAAACUGCGAAUGGCUCAUUAAAACAGUUAUAGUUUAUUUGAUAAUUGACAAUUACAUGGAUAACCGUGGUAAUUCUAGAGCUAAUACAUGCUUAAACGCCCGACUUUAUGGAAGGGUGGUAUUUAUUAGAUUGAAGCCAAUAUUUUUUGUGUCUAUUGUGGUGAUUCAUAAUAACUGAUCGAAUCUCUUUUUGAGAUAAAUCAUUCAAGUUUCUGCCCUAUCAGCUUUCGAUGGUAGUGUAUUGGACUACCAUGGCAGUAACGGGUAACGAAGAAUUAGGGUUCGAUUUCGGAGAGGGAGCAUGAGAAACGGCUACCACAUCUAAGGAAGGCAGCAGGCGCGUAAAUUACCCAAUCCUGACUCAGGGAGGUAGUGACAAGAAAUAGCAAACCGGGAACCUUAUGGUUUCACGGUAUUGCAAUGAGAACAAUUUAAAACCCUUAGCGAGAAUCAAGUGGAGGACAAGUCUGGUGCCAGCACCCGCGGUAAUUCCAGCUCCACUAGCGUAUAUUAAAGUUGUUGCAGUUAAAAAGCUCGUAGUUGAACCUCUGUCUGGGGCUAGUUUUGGCUUUGGUCAGGCUAGUUCUAGGCAUCCGCCUACAAGACUUAGAGGGCAUUCAGUUGUUCACUAGGAGGAGUAGGCAUUUUACUUUGAAAAAAUUAGAGUGUUUAAGGCAGGUAAUUGCCCGCAUAUAUUAGCAUGGAAUAAUAGAAUAGGACACUUUUCCAUUUCGUUGGUUAUUGGAAUCGUGUAAUGAUUAAUAGGGACAGUUGUGGGCAUUUGUAUUUAAUUGUCAGAGGUGAAAUUCUUGGAUUUAUUAAAGACAAACUAACGCGAAAGCAUUUGCCAAGGAUGUUUUCAUUAAUCAAGAACGAAAGUUAGGGGAUCAAAGACGAUCAGAUACCGUCCUAGUCUUAACUAUAAACUAUUCCGACUCAAUGUUUGACUGGCUUAUAUAACCAGUUGAGCGUUGUAUGAGAAAUCAAAGUCUUUAGGUUCUGGGGGGAGUAUGGUUGCAAAGCUGAAACUUAAAGGAAUUGACGGAAGAGCACAACCAGGAGUGGAUUCUGCGGCUUAAUUUGACUCAACACGGGGAAACUUACCAGGUUAAAACAAUAGUGGGAUUGACAGUUUGAGAGCGCUUUCUUGAUUGGUUGGGUGGUGGUGCAUGGCCGUUCUUAGUUGGUGGAGUGAUUUGUCUGCUUAAUUGCGUUAACGAACGAGACCUUAACCUGCUUACUAGACUGGCGAUC